ACUAGUGGGAAAUGAAUUUGUGUUGGUCAAAACCCCUUUUUAUUUUUCAUAAAACUAAAUAACAAAUUAACGUUAUAAUAUAAUUAGCAGGCAGAAAGCAUCAAUACAUGGCAACAGAAAAGUCUCUCUGAAGAUGAAAAAUAGCAGCUUGCAGGGUUUGAUAGUCUGCUGUUCGGGUAUUUAAAGUUGGACAUUGCACAAUAUGCUCCGAAAAAAAUAGUUUUGGAAAAGGGUGUGAAGUACUAUGAGCAGCUGUUAAAGGAGCAUGCUAAAGAGACGGGAGAGGACGAUGACAUCAAAGGGAAGCAACUCGACCCCGCCGUCUACUGCCAUCUCGGACACCUGCACCUGCUGCUGGAAGAUUAUCCAAAAGUCAGCUGUUCGUGUUUUUAAAGUUGGACAUUGCACAAGAUGCUCCAAAAAAAGUUUUGGAAAAGGGUGUGAAGUACUGUGACCUGCUGUCAAAGGAGCAUGCUAGAGCCGGGAGACGACGAUGACAUCAAAGGGAAGCAACUGGACCCUGCCAUCUCGGACACGUACACUUGCUGCUGGAAGAUUAUCCAAAAGAGAUGCCCUCCUGGCUUGGAAUUGCUGUGUUCGUUGACGACUCGCAUGUCUCCUGGCUAUCCGCUCGAUGCUCUUCAAGUGGCAUAUGACCAAUGUUUCGUCAUGUAUCCCAGCUCCCACAGCUGUACAUCGUUGAAUGACCGAACUUGAAAACCCACUGUUCAGCAUGUGCACAGCACUGUGUAUGUGGCUGGUGAAAUUUCUGUGAUAUUCUGCUCUGGGAUGACUGUAAUCCAGACAUGGCAUGGGAAUCGCCAUCAGUCGUGAAGAAUCCAAUCGUGAGUGGAGAGACGUCUGAUGAGAAGUCACUGGAACACUGAGCUGCAGAAUGUUUUUCAUCUCCUAUUGUGUCGUCAAGCCGGAGAUUUGCUGUACAGGAACUCGCCUGCCUGUGUACCACCUCCAGUUGAGAUCCGUGUUGGUCAGAGAAGUCUGAUGUCACUAGGAAUUCCAUCCGCAUCCUUGACGAUGUAUGACUGUCUAUCACAAUGGUGUACCACAGCGUUGAACUCUUCUUGACUAAGUCUCUUGGUAACUGAAUGCUCGCUUUGAUUCGAGGAUUGGAUCCCAAAUCUCUUGAAUACAACAAAGGCACCACAAAUUGGCUCAUUUUCCUUCAGAAUUAAUGAAUGUUGAAAUGUUGCUUUACUUUUCCACCAUGUUUAGAUGUGGGUCAUUCUAAACAAAAUGUAAUAUUUUCGUAAUGGUAAAACAACAAAAUGAUAAUUUUCUUUGACAAACUAUUUUGUUACCUCUGUAAAAUUAAUUAUACAAGGACAUCCUGAAUUUUUUUUUACAUCUUAUUAAGCAUUAGUAUUCUAAUUAUACUUAGACCACAUACUUUUCUGCUAAGUUGUAGUGAAAUAUCAGGGGAUGGCAUUAUGUAACCAGUAUCUUUUGAUUUUCAAUAAAAACUUUCAGUUUUUAUAAAAAUUUAUUGAAAAUAGCUUUUCUGGCACGAGUCCUUUCAUAGAUGUGUUUUUUCUGACAUCUGGAGAAAAUCAAUGCAUAGAAAGACAUUUAGAGAGCUCCAAUGAUUGAUUUUCUUAAGGCAAGUAUCAAAAAACAUCUACAAAAGGACGUGUGAAAAAACCAUCUACAAAAGGACGAGUUGAAAAAACCAUCUACAAAAGGACGAGUUAAAAAACCCAUCUACAAAAGGACGAGUGAAAAAACAUCUACAAAAGGACGAGUGCCAUACAUAUUUCGAGUUCAGUCAGUGUUAUUAUGUUAGUAUAAUUAUAUAAUUCACUACUUUUCAUGUUUGUACCCUGAUGUCACUCUGACAUGUAACUUGUUUGAUUUGUUGAAUAGUGUACCUAACAUUAGAAUGACAUCACAUCUAAAGCGUCCUUGGUUUUAGAUAAAAUUUGAAAUAUUUAGCACUGAUAUAUUAUAAGAUGCUUUGCAGUGCUUAUAUUAAAGCAAAAGUAGGAAUGACACAUUGUAUUCAUUAUUGAAAAUACAAAGUAUAUAGUGUCUUAAACGGACAUUCCUGAGUCUGCUACACUAAGAUGUUUCCGACUAAUAAAAUAUUUCUAUGAUUAAAUUUACAUAUUAAAUAUAUGUUCUUGUUUAGAAUAUCAG